AUUGAACGCUGGCGGCAGGCCUAACACAUGCAAGUCGAACGAGUGGCGGACGGGUGAGUAAUGUCUGGGAAACUGCCUGAUGGAGGGGGAUAACACCUGGAACGGGUGGCAAAACCGGAAUACCAUCGGAGGUGCCAAGAUGGGAUUAGCUAGUGGGGGGGGUAAAGUCUCACCUAGGCGACGAUCCCUAGCUGGUCUGAGAGGAUGACCAGCCACACUGGAACUGAGACACGGUCCAGACUCCUACGGGAGGCAGCAGUGGGGAAUAUUGCACAAUGGGCGCAAGCCUGAUGCAGCCAUGCCGCGUGUAUGAAGAAGGCCUUCGGGUUGUAAAGUACUUUCAGCGGGGAGGCGUUACCCGCAGAAGAAGCACCGGCUAACUCCGUGCCAGCAGCCGCGGUAAUUC
rnacentral:rRNA from 1 species